AUAUAUAAAAAAAUGGAAGAGAGCAACCAAAUCAAUAAACAAAUCUACCAAUGAUGAUAACUCUAAAUACUAAACUAAGAUAAACAUAAAACCAGAAAUCAGUCAGUCGCAUACAGCAAACCCCAAGUCUACAGUUACUCCCAAAGUCCACUGCCUCAGUUUUGCGAUGAUUCAUUAUCUAUCCAAGUACAACGAAGGCAGGUUACAUCAAGUUGAUUGUGGAGAUUUAAUCUGCUGCUCCCGAGGCUGCUGGGAGAGAUUUCCCUUUCUCUUCUUUGUUCUCACAGCUCCUGGGGUUCAGCUUUGGAUUUGGACCUGCGUCUGCAUGUAGGUUGCCUGAGGGCGUCUGUUCUUCGCUCAGCCAGGACGGGGUUAAAGGACCCGCUGAUUCGAGGGCUCUGGCUCACUCAGGCCGCGGGGAGGGAGGGGUACGGAUGCGGAGUGAACCUUCGGCAGCAGAGGCCAGCGUGACGUUGCACCAGCCUGAGGCGCGCCGUGCGUUCUCCUGGGGAAGUUGUAUCCUGAUCAUGGGAUCCUGGCAGUGGCGGGCUGCACAGGCUCCCCGGAAGGGAGGUCCAGAAGAAUUUAAAAAAAGAAAAUUAAUAAAAGGAUAUUGGAUAAUUUAUAAAUUCCUUGGAGAAACAGAGAACCACGCUUAGUGGUUAUGUGAUCUGGAAAAAUACCCCAAACCAUGUCACAGAAGAAGCUGCAGCAACGUCCACUGUGCACAAGACACUUCAGCUUGUUUCAACCCUGCCGUCACUGGAUGCAGGAUGCUGCCACCAGGACCUCUGCACCGUGGGCCCAUGAGCUGUCUUCCUGUUUCAGAAAGAAAACAAGAGAAUGGCUCAAGAUGGAGAAGUAGAAGGACAUGUGCUCACUCCCUCACAACUAACUGCUGAACAAUCAUCAACAGGGGAUAGCCUCAUCCACCAGAGGGAAGACAGCAGAAGCAAGAAGAAUUACAAUCCUGCAGACUGUGGAAUGAAAACCACAUUCACAGAAAGAUAGACAAAAUGAAAAGACAGAGGACUAUGCACCAGAUGAAGGAACAAAAUAAAACCCCAGAAAAACAAAUAAAUAAAGUGGAGAUAGGCAACCAUCCAGAAAAAGAAUUCAGAAUAAUGAUAGUGAAGACAAUCCAGGAUCUCAGAAAAAGAAUGGAGGCAAAGAUCAAGAAGAUGCAAGAAAUGUUGAACAAAUACCUACAAGAAUUAAAGUACAUCUAGAAGAAUCAAAGAAAAAACAAAGAGAGUUGAACAAUACAAUACAUGAAAUGAAAAAUACACUAGAAUGAAUCAAUAGCAGAAUAACUGAGGCAGAAGAAUGGAUAAGUGACCUGGAAGACAAGAUGGUGGAAUUCACUGCUGCAGAACAGAAAAAAGAAAGAAAAGAAAUGAAGACAGCCUAAGAGACUUCUGGGACAACAUUAAACACAACAACAUUCACAUUCCAGUGGUUCCAGAAGGAGAAGAGAGAGAGAAAGGACCCGAGAAAAUAUUUGAAGAGAUUAUAGUUGAAAAUUUCCCUAACGUGGGAAAGGAAAUAGCCACCCAAGUCCAGGAAGCACAGAGAGUCCCAGGCAGGAUAAACCCAAGGAGAAACACAUGAGAAGACACAUAGUAAUCAAACUGACAUAAAUUAAAGACAAAGAAAAAAUAUUAAAAGCAACAAGGGAAAAUGAAAAUAACAUACAAGGGAACUCCCAUAAUAUUAACAGCUGAUUUCUCAGCAGCUCUACAAGUCAGAAGGGAGUAGCACAAUAUAUUUAAAGUGAUGAAAGGGGAGAACCUACAGCCAAGAUUACUCUACCCAGCAGGGAUCUCAUUCAGAUUCGAUGGAGAAAUCAAAAGCUUUACAGACAAACAAAAGCUAAGAGAAUUCAGCACCACCAAACCAGCAUUACAAUAAAUGCUAAAGGAACUUCUCUAAGUGGGAAACACAAGAGAAGUAAAAGAUAUACAAAAACAAACCCAAAACAAUUAAGAAAAUGGUAAUAGGAACAAACAUAUCGAUAAUUACCUUAAAUGUGAAUGGAUUAAAUGCUCCAACCAAAAGAUAUAGGCUUGCUGAAUGGAUACAAAAACAAGACCCGUAUAUAUGCUGUCUACAAGAGACCCACUUCAGACCUAGGGACACAUACAGACUGAAAGUGAGGGGAUGGAAAAAGAUAUUCCAUGGAAAUCAAAAGAAAGCUGGAGUAGCAAUUCUCAUAUCAGACAAAAUAGACUUUAAAUAAAGACUAUUACAAGAGACAAAGAAGGACACUACAUAAUGACCAAGGGAUCAAUCCAAGAAGAAUAUAUAAUACUUGUAAAUA